UUAUCGCUAAUAGACAUGCAUCAUAUGUUUGUUCUGCCAUUGUUUGAUUUUAUCCAUAUUAUCUAUUUUCAGGUUUUUAAUGCAAAAACUGCAGAGCUCCUGAGCCACCAUCAAGUAGAAAUACAACAGAAGUUCCCUAAAGAAGGGUGGGUGGAGCAAGAUCCAAAAGAAAUCUUGCAGUCAGUCCAUGAAUGUGUGGAGAGAACAUGUGAGAAAUUGAAACAGCUGAACAUAGAUAUUACCAACAUAAAAGCUAUUGGAGUCAGCAAUCAGAGGGAGACAACUGUGGUUUGGGACAAGACAACUGGAGAACCUCUGUACAAUGCUAUUGUGUGGCUUGACCUGAGAACCCAGUCAACAGUUGAGAGGCUUCUUAACAGAAUUCCCGGGAAAAAUAAAUCCUUUUUUAAGCCUAGGACUGGUCUUCCACUUAGCACAUAUUUCAGUGCAGUGAAACUUCGAUGGCUGCUGGAUAAUGUGGAAGAAAUUAAGCAAGCAGUUGAUGAUGGACGCGCUAUGUUUGGCACUAUUGAUUCAUGGCUUAUAUGGAGUUUGACUGGCGGAAGGAAUGGAGGUGUUCAUUGUACUGAUAUGACUAAUGCCAGUAGAACAAUGCUGUUCAACAUUCAUUCCUUGGAGUGGGACCCUGAACUCUGCCAGUUUUUUGAUAUUCCUAUGGAAAUACUUCCAAAAGUGAGGAGUUCCUCUGAGAUCUAUGGCCUGAUGAAAAUCAGUUCUGCUGUGAAGUCUGGAGCUUUGACAGGUGUGCCAAUUUCUGGGUGCUUGGGUGACCAAUCUGCUGCACUAGUUGGACAAAUGUGUUUUAGGGAUGGACAAGCAAAAAAUACGUACGGAACAGGCUGUUUCUUGCUUUGCAAUACAGGUCCAAAGUCUGUAUUUUCUGAGCAUGGCCUUCUGACCACAGUGGCUUACCAGCUGGGCAGGGACAAGCCUGUGUAUUAUGCACUAGAAGGGUCUGUUGCCAUAGCUGGUGCUGUUGUUCGUUGGCUGAGGGACAAUCUUGGUAUUGUGAAAUCUUCCCAGGAAGUUGAAAAACUUGCUGCUGAAGUGGGAACUUCUUAUGGCUGCUACUUCGUGCCAGCAUUUUCAGGACUCUAUGCACCAUACUGGGAACCCAGUGCAAGAGGUAUUAUCUGUGGCCUUACUCAGUUUACAAAUAAAAAUCACAUUGCCUUCGCUGCAUUAGAGGCUGUCUGCUUUCAAACACGAGAGAUUUUGGAUGCCAUGAACAAGGAUUGUGGGAUACCAUUAAGCCAGUUACAGGUUGAUGGAGGAAUGACCAACAAUAAGGUUCUCAUGCAGCUCCAAGCUGAUAUUCUCUGCAUUCCAGUAGUAAAACCAUCAAUGCCUGAAACAACAGCACUAGGAGCUGCUAUGGCAGCAGGAGCUGCAGAAGGAGUUGGAAUUUGGAGUCUGGAUCCUGGAGACUUGACAGCAGUGACAUGUGAACGAUUUGAACCACAGAUCAAUCCUGAAGAAAGUGAAUAUCGCUAUGCCAGAUGGAAGAAAGCAGUGAUGAAAUCAAUAGGAUGGGAGACAUCUGAACCUCAUUCAAAUGAUUCCCAGUGAAAAAGAUAUGGGUUCUGGUGAUGAGGCCUUAUUCCAAGACAUGUCAGAAAUCUGUCUACCUAAAUUUCCCUGCUAUCUCCAUAAAGAUGGUACUAAUAAAUGAGACCAUGUAAUGGAUUAUCAGAAUGCAGCCAGUUUGUGAAGAGAAUUGAGUUAUAUCUCCACAUCUGACGGUACUGCCUGAAUGACUAGAUCACUUACAAACCAAUCCGUUGCCUGGUCCUUGAAUGACAUCCCAAGAGUGACUUGAAACAUGAAAUAAACUACUCUGCUCUUCCUCGUCUUUCCCCGUUUCUAAUUAUUCCGGCAGCCUUUGAAUGGACACUUUGGAAAGCCCUAACUUUGUUUUGAAAGUGGACAUGAAAAGAAUUUUAAGCUGUCUGAUAACUGUAGAGGCAUUCCUAUCCUGAUGUCUAGGACCUUGUUAUUUUAUAAUGCACUAUGAAGAGCUAUAAUAAUGCACUAUAAGAACUUAUAAAACAGUCAUUUUUUCCAACAGUUGUUAUAUUAAUAGAUGGUUGCCAAUGAUAUGUUUUUAUUUAGUAGCCAUUAGACAGAAUAUCUUUAUUGGUGUAUACUUUUUAAAAACACUCAGUACAUCAUCAGUACCAGACAUUGUCACUAGUAUCUGCUGAUUUGAUGUCUGCAAACAUUGUUUAAUAUUUGAUUAAACAUUAAGUUGCUUAGUCUCUUGUAUGUGCAUAGGUGAUCAUCAAUAAGAUAUACUUAAAAUGCUAUGUCCUAUAAAUUUCUCUUGUAAGAAGGUAGGAAGAAUCAGCUUCUUUGGAGAAAACCACUUUUGUAUUUUGCUGGUUCAUGUUCUUUUGAAAGACCAAUUUUAUGCAUGCAUGCUGGUCACAGGAAAAGUCCUUAUUCCUUAACAGCUGAUAAGUUACAGUUAAAUUGAUCCACAAUAUACCCUUGUUGGCCAGUACUGCAUGCCCUUUUUUUCAUCCUGAUUUUAGAGUACUUGGAUUAUUAUUUGCAAAAUUUGAGGAUAUUGCUGGUGUCUGUCCACAAAAAGGGCCACUCCAAAUGAAAUUGUUUCAUUGAGGUUGCCAUUACUGAUUUUCAUCUGGUGUAGAAUGAAUACCGAAGUCUGCCUCUGAAUUGAAUUAAUCUGUUUUUGCUUAACAGUGUAUCCCAGAAUAGGCAGUUCACAAGCCAGGAUCCAGGUUUGGGGAUAUACAAACUUUGGCAUCUACAAAUACCAUUCACUUAAAUUGAGUUGUCAUUUUUUUUUUUUUUUUAAAUUAACUUUUGUAUAAUUAAGCUUAAACUAAAUACCUAAUUUAGCACAGGAAAAUUGAAAAGAUAUUAAUUUAUUUGCAUAAAGAUCCUGGAUAAAUUGACAGUUUCAACUGUGGUAGAGCAUAGAAAAUGUUUCUGUAUAGUUGUUUCACUGGAACAUAGAUAUCCUCUUGCCUAAUUGACAAGAAGACAAAUGUGGAGACUUUCAAGAUAAUCGAUGACAAAUUUUGUGUUUAAAUAUACUAGGAGCUGAAGGGAGUGUGGAUUCUUUGUGUGUAAAAGAUUCUUCUUGUCUGUCUAAGGAAAGCAGUUAUCUUUAACAACAGUAUUUUUCUUCCUUUAAGCUAUAAAUGAAAAACUAAUAGAAAAUAUAGAGUACUGGAGCUGACUAGAAAUUCUCAUCUGUACAGUGUAUAUUUAAUGUUAACUGCAUAUGAUACUCCUUUUUAUCAAGUGCAAUGUAAUUUGAAAAUGUAAUCUUUUUUUAAAAGAUUGUGAAGGAAAACAUUUUUCCACUGGUGCAUGUAUGUAAUGUUAUUUUUUAUAUAAUUGGAAAUUAGUUUUGUGUACAGGUGAAAAUACAAAAAAUGACCAUGCCCAAACACUAUUCACAAAUCCUUGUGCUGUAUGGAUGUACUCUGUAUGCUAAACACUUUCUGUAAAUACCUAGCAUUUGGGUAUAGCAAUCAAGGCUUCUGGUUUUCAUUUUGCACAGAGGUAUCUUUUAGUAGUCUCUUAUAAAAGGGAAAGCUGAAUUAUCAGCCAGCAAAAGUAAUCAGUUUUUUGGUUUUUUACACAAUUCUUAGAUUUACUCAUUCAUUGAUGAUCUUUCCCCACCCCCCAACCAGGGAUCAAUGUAGUACUAGCACUGUGAAGAACACAAAUCAAAAGCAGUGCACACCCGAGAAACCAGGCUUCUGGGUAGGAGUGGGAUUAUUUUUGCCAAAAAUUACAUCUUAAGUCUUCAAAUAUAAUUCUGACAUUAGAAAAAUCUAAGCAGUAAGUAACAAACUUGGGCAUCAUAAAUUUCAGUGUUGCCUUUCCAGUGGUAUACCUCUGUUUCUGCAUACAGUGUUGAUUUUGCUGCUUUUGACACAUUGGGCCUCUUUCUAGAUCACAUUUCAACUGCUGUUUCAAUUGAGUAAAUGAGACUAGCUUUGCUUCCAAUUGCUGUUGCAGAUAUAUAUAUAUAUAUAUUUUUUUUUUUUGAAGUAUUUAAUACCACUGUUUAACUUUAUACCAAAAUAGCUUAAAUUAAUUGUGGAAAAAGUAAAGUUCAAGUAACUUUUUGUGAAUAGAAAGUGGUCAUUUCCCCCCGCCCCUGCCCCACCAUGAUUUCCAGAUUUAUAAAUUCUUACUAGAGAAACAUGCUGACUCGGUACUGCUGUCCAACACCAUGGUCAUGAAUAA